UACGAAGGGGGCUAGCGUUGCUCGGAAUCACUGGGCGUAAAGGGUGCGUAGGCGGGCCUUUAAGUCAGGGGUGAAAUCCUGGAGCUCAACUCCAGAACUGCCUUUGAUACUGAAGAUCUUGAGUUCGGGAGAGGUGAGUGGAACUGCGAGUGUAGAGGUGAAAUUCGUAGAUAUUCGCAAGAACACCAGUGGCGAAGGCGGCUCACUGGCCCGGUACUGACGCUGAGGUGCGAAAGCGUGGGGGGCAAACAGG
rnacentral:rRNA from 1 species